rnacentral:rRNA from 1 species
UACGUAGGUGGCAAGCGUUGUCCGGAUUUACUGGGCGUAAAGGGCGUGCAGGCGGUUUUUUAAGCGCAGGGUGAAAGCUCCCGGCUCAACUGGGAGAGGUCCUUGCAUACUGGCAAACUCGAGGGAGGCAGAGGAAAGUGGAAUUCCCGGUGUAGUGGUGAUAUGCGUAGAUAUCGGGAGGAACACCUGUGGCGAAGGCGGCUUUCUGGGCCUUACCUGACGCUGAGACGCGAAAGCGUGGGGAGCGAACCGG